GUCUACGGCCACGCUACUCUGAACAAGCCCAAUCCCAGAUCUCAGAAGCUAAGCAGGGUCAGGCCUGGUUAGUACUUGGAUGGGAGAACACCUAGGAAGACCAGGUGCUAUAGGCG
rnacentral:rRNA from 1 species